rnacentral:rRNA from 1 species
UACGAAGGGGGCUAGCGUUGCUCGGAAUCACUGGGCGUAAAGCGCACGUAGGCGGCUUGCUAAGUCAGGGGUGAAAUCCUGGAGCUCAACUCCAGAACUGCCUUUGAUACUGGAGAGCUUGAGUCCGGAAGAGGUGAGUGGAACUCCGAGUGUAGAGGUGAAAUUCGUAGAUAUUCGGAAGAACACCAGUGGCGAAGGCGGCUCACUGGUCCGGUACUGACGCUGAUGUGCGAAAGCGUGGGGAGCAAACAGG